GAUCCUGGCUCAGGAUGAACGCUAGCGACAGGCCUAACACAUGCAAGUCGAGGGGCAGCGAAGAGGUAGCAAUACCUUUGCCGGCGACCGGCGCAUGGGUGAGUAACACGUAUGCAAUCCACCUGUAACAGGGGGAUAACCCGGAGAAAUCCGGACUAAUACCCCAUAAUAUGGGCGCUCCGCAUGGAGAGCCCAUUAAAGAGAGCAAUUUUGGUUACAGACGAGCAUGCGCCCCA
rnacentral:rRNA from 1 species